rnacentral:misc_RNA from 1 species
ACAAACUUGGUCAUUUAGAGGAAGUAAAAGUCGUAACAAGGUCUCCGUAGGUGAACCUGCGGAGGGAUCAUUAGUGAAAUCAACUUGCGGGAGGAUGUGCUGGCCUUGUUGCAUGUGCACUCCAAACGCUAAUCCACUUACCCCUGUGCACCUUUGACCUUGACCAUGCCUCUUGUCGACCAUGGUCGACACCAAAAGAGCUGGUCUUGGUACUUUACACACUCGUUGUCUCAGAAUGUCUCAUGUGCUUAAUGCGCAGAAAUACAACUUUCAACAACGGAUCUCUUGGCUCUCGCAUCGAUGAAGAACGCAGC